GAGCUGGAAGAACUGAGUGUUUGAUCACUUUAUGUUAAGCAUAUAUAGUAUGGGCAUGGAAGUACCUUGAAGUCUUCAACCCUAAUGCCUGCUCCUAGGACAAUUUAGUAUGAAUUUUAACUUAAUGAAACCUCCUGGGUCUGCAGGACACCAAUAUGCUGUCUGAUUUCACUGCUGGAAGAUAUCCGAACUGAGCUGUGGAGUAUUCUAGAUACUCUUUACUACAUCAGUAAAUGCUGGGGAAAAUGGGAAGCUUGGAUGGGGAGAGCCAAGCAGAAUGUUCAUUGAAAUGUUCAAGACUGGAAUGAAGAUGAUGGUGGAAAAGUCAACAACACCAUAUAGGUAAUAUUAUUGUCCACAGUAAUGACAUGAAAGAGAAAUGAC
rnacentral:lncRNA from 1 species